CCUACAGCGUCCCCUACAGCGUCCCCUACAGCGUCCCCUACAGCGUCCCCUUCGCCGCCCGUCCCCUGUGGCGUACUACCAGGAGUGUACUGACGAAUCCUGCGAGACCACAACAUGGGUCCCCCGCCGUCCCCUUCGCCGCCCGUCCCCUGUGGUUCCACUCCAAGGCGGUCCACCUCAGCGGUUUCCUCCCGCAUGGUUAAAGGGUGUGGAAGUUUUCUAAAAAAUGAGAAGUUUAACCCAUUAGAAUAUAUAUAUAAC